UACAGAGGUCCCGAGCGUUGUUCGGAUUCACUGGGCGUAAAGGGUGCGUAGGCGGACAGGUAAGUCAGUGGUGAAAUCUCUGGGCUUAACCCAGAAACUGCCGUUGAUACUAUUUGUCUUGAAUAUCCUGGAGGUAGGCGGAAUAUGUCAUGUAGCGGUGAAAUGCUUAGAUAUGACAUAGAACACCGAUAGCGAAGGCAGCUUACUACAGGAUGAUUGACGCUGAGGCACGAAAGCGUGGGGAGCAAACAGG
rnacentral:rRNA from 1 species